GUGGGGCUCUUUCGAUUCACUAGCAUAGUUUCCUUGUCAUUUAUCUCAUUUUCUAGUUCAAAACACAAAAACAAUCAAAGUCUAGUGAAGCCAUGUGAGGCCUUUUUUGAUUCACUAGCAAUUUAUUGUUCUUGUGUUGGUUGAAUAUAUGUAUAGCCAAAUCUUUUCACAUGAAAUUGAGUUGGUAAUGAAGUGAUACGUCCUUGUGUGUUAGUUUAGUAGGAGGUAGAGGGGGAGUUAUUAGUUAGGUGAAUUGUUGUCUACUUGAAGUAUUAAAAUGGCUAGAUGAGCAAGUAAGUUAUAAUUAUAGGCUCCUGGUUGUUGUGGAAUUUGAAGGUAGUCUAAAUGUAUGCUUGGGUAAGUAAGUGUGAUGUGAGAAAGACGUAUAAGUAGAUAAGAUUGUAUGGGGUUAUGAUAUGAGAUUAAGGUUGACCAUGUCUAUUAUGUGACUUUACACCCCCCUCCCCCGGACCUUUUUUUCGUUGGUAGUUGUAAACUAGUACUACUUGUGAGAAGGUAUGUAGUAGAUUUUUUGAGGUAUUUGGAUAGAAUGUCCCAAUUUGAUGGACUAGUAUAUUAUGU
rnacentral:lncRNA from 1 species